GACAGACAGGUGAAGCUGGCUGGCUGUCAGAGAGAUAAGGGGAGCUAGGCCAGUCCUCCAGAGGUCAGUCAGCCAGACACGAAGGAAACAGGACAGCAAGAGGGACAGUACACAGACGAGGUAAACAAACCUUGGGGCAGCACAUAGAGGUUUCAAGAUUUUCUUCGGGAAGAUGUGAAAUAAUUAUCCACGCCUGUGACCUUGCAGAGCCAAUACUUUAUUGCUAAUUACUGUGCUAUUUGCUAAGUCUUGAUGCACAGCCAUGGAGUUGGGAGAGGAUUUGGAACAGGCCCCAGGAGUGACAGCCUGACUAAGAACAACAGAGUGAGGAAGGAAAGGGAUAAUGGAUGUACCCAACGGGUUGACAAGGUUCUGGACCGCCAAUGAUUCAGGGGAUUUGUGGUAAAAGUUUCCUACUUACCAACACAUAAGAACUAAC